UAGGGUAAGAUGAAGAAAUUAGCACAUAUGGAAAAACCGAAGGCCCAAGCGUGAAGCCUACCUCUAACCCUUGCGAAAAUACGUCGAUGCCUCUGUACCUUCUCUUUCUUCUACACAGACCCCAUCUCCGCCGCAUCAGUGCGCUGCCGUGUCUGUGUCUUCCCUUCUCGCUGUCGUGUAUGCGUAUUCUCUUCACGCCGCUGUCACAUCUCAUGUCGUUUGAUUGUGGGUGCACGGGGUGAGGCUUACACCGAGAUAAUUAAAUCGAGUAGAACGGUCUUCAGUAAGCGAUCAAUUGUACAUCUCAAGCUGGAUCGAGUGCUGCAGUUCGAGCAUGAUGAAUCGAGCAUUUGGGUCUUCUCAGUUCGAUCGAUGCAAGCUCAGGGCAACUGAGGAUCCAAUUUUUUUUUUUUUUGCAAAACUGGCCCCCCUAAAAUUAGCAUUGUUGUAUUCUAAUUUAUCCAGAUAUUUUAUAUUUUAGCUUGUAUUUAAUUUACAUUUACCGGCUAUUUUGAUAGGUAGAUGGUUGUUAUUUU